UUAAUUUUUAAGGCCUGGAGUUUAGGGCUUAAGAAAUAAUAUUGUAGGGAGGGAAGGAAGAACUCAUCUUACUUUAGAGCCUAUUUUUAUAGGGAAUAGGUAAGGAGAAAAAAACAUUUUGGAUAUUUUGAUUUUGAGUUCACUCUCUAUUUUAAAUAACUUUUCGAAAAAACAUCAACCUUUCUGUUGGCUUAAAUAUUUUUAGUGUAAAAUUUAAAAAUAUAACUUAGUCUACAUGUUUCUCUUAGUGAUUUUGGCAGAACUAGUAUUCCAAACUGGAAGAGGUUCUCUGUAUUUAAUUUCCUCUCCGGAAGUUUACCUUCAGAAGUCCAAGUGUGAGGUCAAUCCUUGGGUUGACCGGAAAUGUAAUGUCCUUUACUGUCUGAGCACCCAGACAGCACUUAAUGAAACAUCCUACUUUGCGGACAUUGCUGCUGCUGCUUCUGAAUUAUGA
rnacentral:lncRNA from 1 species